rnacentral:rRNA from 1 species
GACGAACGCUGGCGACGCGCUUAACACAUGCAAGUCGAACGGAAAGGCCUGCUUUCCCUUGUGGAUUGCGGGUACUCGAGUGGCGAACGGGUGAGUAACACGUGAGUGAUCUGCCCCCAACUUGGGUAUAAGCCUGGGAAACUGGGUCUAAUUCCCGAUAGGACUGCAGGGUGGUGCCUGUGGUGGAAAACGAUUUUCUAGUGGUUGGGGAUGAGCUCGCGGCCUAUCAGCUUGUUGGUGGGGUAAUGGCCUACCAAGGCGGCGACGGGUAGCCGGCCUGGGAGGGUGGACGGCCACAUUGGGACUGAGAUACGGCCCAGACUCCUACGGGAGGCGGCAGUGGGGAAGAUUGCACAAUGGGCGGAAGCCUGAUGCAGCGACGCCGCGUGGGGGAUGACGGCCUUCGGGUUGUAAACUCCUUUCGACCGCGAGGAAGCCACCUGGUUGGAAGGGUGGUGACGGUAGUGGGAGAAGAAGCACCGGCUAACUACGUG